rnacentral:rRNA from 1 species
UCCAAACUCAAUAGGGAGGAAAAGAAACUAACAAGGAUUCCCCUAGUAACGGCGAGUGAAGCGGGAUGAGCUCAAAUUUAAAAUCUGGCGGCCUCAGGUCGUCCGAGUUGUAGUCUAGAGAAUCGUUUUCCGCGUUGGCCUGUGUACAAGUCCCUUGGAACAGGGCGUCAUAGAGGGUGAGAAUCCCGUCCUUGACACAGAUUACCAAUGCUUUGUGAUGCGAUCUCGAAGAGUCGAGUUGUUUGGGAAUGCAGCUCAAAAUGGGUGGUAAAUUCCAUCUAAAGCUAAAUAUUGGCGAGAGACCGAUAGCGAACAAGUACCGUGAGGGAAAGAUGAAAAGCACUUUGGAAAGAGAGUUAAACAGUACGUGAAAUUGUUAAAAGGGAAACGAUUGAAGUCAGUCAUGCUUUCCGAGACUCAGCCGAUUCUGUCGGUGUACUUCUCGGUUGGCAGGCCAGCAUCAGUUUCGAUCUGUGGAAAAGGUUGGAGGGAACGUGGCAUCCUCGGAUGUGUUAUAGCCCUUCUUCGAAUACACAGAGCGGGACUGAGGAACGCAGCGCGCCUUUUAUUAGGUUGGCCCUCGGGUACAUACGCGCUAUGAUGCAUAA